rnacentral:rRNA from 1 species
GUGGGGAAUCUUGCGCAAUGGGCGAAAGCCUGACGCAGCCAUGCCGCGUGAAUGAUGAAGGUCUUAGGAUUGUAAAAUUCUUUCACUGGGGACGAUAAUGACGGUACCCGGAGAAGAAGCUCCGGCUAACUUCGUGCCAGCAGCCGCGGUAAUACGAAGGGGGCUAGCGUUGCUCGGAAUUACUGGGCGUAAAGGGCGCGUAGGCGGACAGCUUAGUCAGAGGUGAAAGCCCAGGGCUCAACCUUGGAAUUGCCUUUGAUACUGGCUGUCUUGAGUUUGGGAGAGGUGAGUGGAACUCCGAGUGUAGAGGUGAAAUUCGUAGAUAUUCGGAAGAACACCAGUGGCGAAGGCGACUCACUGGCCCAAUACUGACGCUGAGGCGCGAAAGCGUGGGGAGCAAACAGGAUUAGAAACCCCUGUAGUCC